UCCCUACGAGGCAGCAGUCGGGAAUUUUGGGCAAUGGGCGAAAGCCUGACCCAGCAACGCCGCGUGAAGGAUGAAAUCCCUCGGGAUGUAAACUUCGCAAGAACGGGAAGAAUAAGCCGGUGUAAAUACCACCGGUGAUGACGGUACUGUUUGUAAGCUCCGGCUAACUCCGUGCCAGCAGCCGCGGUAAUACGGGGGGAGCAAGCGUUGUUCGGAUUUACUGGGCGUAAAGGGCGCGUAGGCGGCCACCGCAAGUCGACUGUGAAAUCUCUGGGCUUAACCCAGAACGGUCAGCCGAUACUGCGGGGCUAGAGUGCAGAAGGGGCAACUGGAAUUCUCGGUGUAGCGGUGAAAUGCGUAGAUAUCGAGAGGAACACCUGCGGCGAAGGCGGGUUGCUGGGCUGACACUGACGCUGAGGCGCGAAAGCUAGGGGAGCGAACGGGAUUAGAUACCCCGGUAGUCCCUAGCCUUAAACGAUGAAUGCUUGGUGUACUGGGGUUAUAUAGUCCCCGGGUGCCGUACGCUAACGCUUUAAGCAUUCCGCUGGGAGUACGUC
rnacentral:rRNA from 1 species